GCAUACGGCUCAGUAACGCGUACUCCUUUAACCUAUGGACGGGAAUAACCUCGGGAAACUGAGACCCUGCCCGAUAGAACAUUAUGCCUGGAAUGGUUUAUGUUCCAAAUGAUUUAUCGCCGUAGGAUGGGACUGCGGCCUAUCAGUUUGUUGGUGAGGUAAUGGCCCACCAAGACUAUUACAGGUACGGGCUCUGAGAGGAGUAGCCCGGAGAUGGGUACUGAGACACGGACCCAGGCCCUAUGGGGCGCAGCAGGCGAGAAAACUUUGCAAUGUGCGAAAGCACGACAAGGUUAAUCCGAGUGGUUUCUGCUAAAGAAACCUUUUGUCAGUCCUAAAAACACUGAUGAAUAAGGGGUGGGCAAGUUCUGGUGUCAGCCGCCGCGGUAAAACCAGCACCUCAAGUGGUCAGGAUGAUUAUUGGGCCUAAAGCAUCCGUAGCCGGCUCUGUAAGUUUUCGGUUAAAUCUGUACGCUCAACGUACAGGCUGCCGGGAAUACUGCAGAGCUAGGGAGUGGGAGAGGUAGACGGUACUCGGUAGGAAGGGGUAAAAUCCUUUGAUCUAUUGAUGACCACCUGU
rnacentral:rRNA from 1 species